UUGGUUUGCUUGCAACCAAAGCUGGCGACCGGCGCACGGGUGAGUAACACGUAUCCAACCUGCCUCAUACUCGGGGAUAGCCUUUCGAAAGAAAGAUUAAUAUCCGAUAGCAUAUAUUUCCCGCAUGGGUUUUAUAUUAAAGAAAUUCGGUAUGAGAUGGGGAUGCGUUCCAUUAGUUUGUUGGCGGGGUAACGGCCCACCAAGACUACGAUGGAUAGGGGUUCUGAGAGGAAGGUCCCCCACAUUGGAACUGAGACACGGUCCAAACUCCUACGGGAGGCAGCAGUGAGGAAUAUUGGUCAAUGGACGCGAGUCUGAACCAGCCAAGUAGCGUGAAGGAUGACUGCCCUAUGGGUUGUAAACUUCUUUUAUAUGGGAAUAAAGUGGUCCACGUGUGGAUUUUUGUAUGUACCAUAUGAAUAAGGAUCGGCUAACUCCGUGCCAGCAGCCGCGGUAAUACGGAGGAUCCGAGCGUUAUCCGGAUUUAUUGGGUUUAAAGGGAGCGUAGGCGGAUUGUUAAGUCAGUUGUGAAAGUUUGCGGCUCAACCGUAAAAUUGCAGUUGAUACUGGCAGUCUUGAGUGCAGUAGAGGUGGGCGGAAUUCGUGGUGUAGCGGUGAAAUGCUUAGAUAUCACGAAGAACUCCGAUUGCGAAGGCAGCUCACUGGAGUGUAACCGACGCUGAUGCUCGAAAGUGUGGGUAUCAAACAGGAUUAGAUACCCUGGUAGUCCACACAGUAAACGAUGAAUACUCGCUGUUUGCGAUAUACAGU
rnacentral:rRNA from 1 species